CUCACUACCAACUGCAGGCCUGCAGGAAGGAAGAGAGGCUGGCUAGAGAGACAACUGCAUGCUCCCUGUAGACUGAAACCACAGGCCAGGCUGCAGAUCCAUUGGAAUGACUCUGCUUCAUUGUGUUUCUUUGGAAGGACAGAACAUUUGCCCAUGACUUUCACAGCAAUUGUAUGCAAGCAAGCAGAUCCAGUUUUACCCUGUCGCUGUGCACACGGCAUAAGUAGAAGACACCACUGCAAAGCAGUGACCUUAUACUUUGUUUCCCCGGCUGGCUUGCUCCAUCCAAGAGGAUUCCCAUCUUCUAUGGGAAAUGAAAGCAGAAUAGUCUUUCUCUUGAUUCACAUUUCUGUUUCUUCUGUAACUCCUCCCUCCCCUCCCUAAACCCAGGUGUGGUGGAUACUGGUAACAUCUGUGUGUAUCUACCAUGGCUACUGAGAAAAGGGCACUGUUGAUUAUUUUGAAUGACUCUUUACUUGCAGAUAGUGUGGUUACAGAAAACCAGUUUCUUUUCCUUUCUUCUGGACUUGGCAGCCCAUUGGCGGGAAUCUGACCUCUUAAUGUAAAGCGUGGCUCAGGGAUAAUGAUUUCACUAGGGUUGCUCUAGGUCUGGCUUGUCCUUGAGGCAGAUCUAAAUGAUUGAGACUUUGCAAGAUAGCUCAUGUCUAUCACAGAGAAGGCCGAAACAGGCCCUUGGAAGGACAGAAGAUAAAGUCCACAUGAAAACGAAGCUUUUGUGGCUCUGGACAUUUUAGUAAAGGGUCAAAAUUAUUGCCAUUGUUUCUUUGUGUAUGUUCAAUCUCCUCUUUGGAGGAGCAAAGAUAGAGACUGGGUGAUUCUUAACUUCGAAGGCUCGUGGACAAACAUACACUCUUCUGUUAUUUUAGUGGACUCAGGACUCUCUUGAGGACCCUAGAGUGUACAAUAGAAAUCUCCGUGCAUAAAAAAAAAAGACAUAAUUGUGAAACUACAGUUGUAUAUUUGUUGUUUGCUUCCAUUGGUUUUACUUUGAAAGAGAAAAAGCUCAGGAGAUUUCAACGUCCCUACAUAGUGGUGGGCAGCAAAGGCCUAACACUGCAAGAGCUUUGGCCCAAUCACACAGCUGUUCACUGUGACCAAAGACAUCCUUGUCUCUUAAGGGGCAGAAAGCUAUCUACCAGUGAAUAUUAUAUAAUUAGAAAUCAUGUCGCAUGGUUCAGUGUUUCAAAAGCAAAUGCAAAAACUGCCAAUAAAAAUAUUAAGAAUUGCACAUCUCCCCUCUCUUAAGGAGUGUUUCUGAUUUCUCUGAGAAACAGCCACACUGCUUAUUUGGGUUAAAUGCUUCCUACGGGCCCCAUUUGCCUGAUAUGUGUUCCUUGCCCAGAACUGCUCUGCAGAGGGCCUGUGCUUAUCACAAAGCCAGCCAAGUCAGGAGCACUGACUCUCUUUCUGUUCUUAGCAGAUGAAUCACAAGGAGCUAUCCACCCUCCUUCUGUAGGUUAAUGUCAGGGAUUGGGCUGGUCACUGCUUUGCUUCAUUAUCUGCCCGGUUCAAAAUUCUGUCAUAAAACUCCUUUCAAAGAGGUGCUGCCUUCCUACCAGAUUCCAAAAGCAUUUCUCCAAGAACAGAACUUCCCCUGCAUCCCCCGACCUCCCCCCGCCCCACACAUACAAAAAACAAAAAACAGAUGAAUCUUGGGCUGAAAACAAGAUAGUUUAAGGCCAGCCCAAGGCCCUCUUUUAACCUUAUGAAAGCUCAAGGAUCAUUUAAUUUCAGGUCCUGGGCAAGUUAACGGUUGACCUUCCACCUACUCAAGCUUUCUGGUUAAAAGGAUGAGGCAUGCUACUUCUCUUGAUUUUUGUGACCUACCCACUUAUACCUCAGAACACAAAACUAUCCCACACUGCAGGUCAGGAACUUGGAUUAAAUGCUGCUUUGACUGUUUCCAGUGGUAGAUGUGGUCCGCACAAUCCUUAGCUUGAAAAUGCUGGAAACAUCCAUCGUUAGAACACUACUAGGUAACUCCUAAGAUGACAUUUAUUGUAAAUUGAUUUGGAAAAGAAAAAAGAAAGUCACUCAUGGGUACUGACUGCAUGUAUCACCUGCAGGGUCAUGCACUAGAGAUGAGCUGGUAAGUUCAUACAACUGUGGCGCCUUACUGAAAUUAGCUGCAUGGUUUUUCCCCCUCAAAGAGAAAAGAUCCGCAGGGCAGUUUGAGGGAAGAUUUCUCUGUCCCACCAAGAUUUCUUCCCAUAGGAAAUAUCACAGGAUCCAAGGAUGAGUGAUUCCAACAGAAUGGUGAAUCCUAGUUAAACAGCUGGUUUAAAAGUUAACCAUCUUCAUUCUAACCUGAGCAAGAAUGCCUUUCCCUGUGCUGCCCCAGCCUCUCUUGCAGUAUGAAGCAAAACUAGGAUGCAGAAACUUCUAGAAGCAUUUUCAGCUCAUGCUCUGGGUCCAAAGGCUUUUCUCUCUAGAGGCAAGGCGUUUAAUAAAUGGCGCUCUUCAAGACUCCAUAUAACUACUACACAUCAGCCGGGUGUAACACAUGGAUGCUCACAUACCAACUGUCCUGGAAGCUGAACAUGUAUUAUGAUGAUGAUCCCCAUGAUGGAGGAAGUAUUCAUGUACAGAGGUAUUAGGGAUCCUUCCCAGAGAGGCUGAACUCCAGCUUGCAAGACCCCGACUUUAAGACUGUAACUACUAUUGUUUCUUUUCAAUAAACAGACAAAUUCCA